AACGAACGCUGGCGGCAUGCCUAACACAUGCAAGUCGAACGAGACCUUCGGGUCUAGUGGCGCACGGGUGCGUAACGCGUGGGAACCUGCCCUUAGGUUCGGAAUAACUCCCCGACAGGGGUGCUAAUACCGGAUAAUGUCUUCGGACCAAAGAUUUUUCGCCUUUGGAUGGGCCGGCGUUGGAUUAGCUAGUUGGUAGGGUAAAAGCCUACCAAGGCGACGAUCCACAGCUGGUCAGAGAGGAUGGUCAGCCACACUGGGACUGAGACACGGCCCAGACUCCUACGGGAGGGAGCAGUGGGGAAUAUUGGAAAGUGGGCGGAAGCAUGAUCCAGCAAUGACGCGUGAGUGAUGAAGGCAUUAGGGUUGUAAAGCGCUUGUACCCGUGAUGAUAAUGACAGUACCGGGAGAAUAAGCUCCGGCUAACUCCGUG
rnacentral:rRNA from 1 species